ACUUUCAGCAGUGAGGAAGGUGGGUAUGUUAAUAGCAUAUCAUUUGACGUUAGCUGCAGAAGAAGCACCGGCUAACUCCGUGCCAGCAGCCGCGGUAAUACGGAGGGUGCGAGCGUUAAUCGGAAUUACUGGGCGUAAAGCGCAUGCAGGUGGUUUGUUAAGUCAGAUGUGAAAGCCCGGGGCUCAACCUCGGAAUUGCAUUUGAAACUGGCAACUAGAGUACUGUAGAGGGGGUAGAAUUUCAGGUGUAGCGGUGAAAUGCGUAGAGAUCUGAAGGAAUACCCGGUGGCGAAGGCGGCCCCCUGGACAGAUACUGACACUCAGAUGCGAAAGCGUGGGGAGGCAAACAAGGAUUAGAUACCCUCGGUAG
rnacentral:rRNA from 1 species